rnacentral:rRNA from 1 species
UGGGGAAUAUUGCACAAUCGGCGCAAGCCUGAUGCAGCCAUGCCGCGUGUAUGAAGAAGGCCUUCGGGUUGUAAAGUACUUUCAGCGGGGAUGAAGGGAGUAAAGUUAAUACCUUUGCUCAUUGACGUUACCCGCAGAAGAAGCACCGGCUAACUCCGUGCCAGCAGCCGCGGUAAUACGGAGGGUGCAAGCGUUAAUCGGAAUUACUGGGCGUAAAGCGCACGCAGGCGGUUUGUUAAGUCAGAUGUGAAAUCCCCGGGCUCAACCUGGGAACUGCAUCUGAUACUGGCAAGCUUGAGUCUCGUAGAGGGAGGUAGAAUUCCAGGUGUAGCGGUGAAAUGCGUAGAGAUCUGGAGGAAUACCGGUGGCGAAGGCAGCCCCCUGGACGAAGACUGACGCUCAGGUGCGAAAGCGUGGGGAGCAAACAGG